rnacentral:rRNA from 1 species
GACGAACGCUGGCGGCGUGCUUAACACAUGCAAGUCGAACGGAAAGGCCCUGCUUUUGUGGGGUGCUCGAGUGGCGAACGGGUGAGUAACACGUGAGUAACCUGCCCUUGACUUUGGGAUAACUUCAGGAAACUGGGGCUAAUACCGGAUAGGAGCUCCUGCUGCAUGGUGGGGGUUGGAAAGUUUCGGCGGUUGGGGAUGGACUCGCGGCUUAUCAGCUUGUUGGUGGGGUAGUGGCUUACCAAGGCUUGGACGGGUAGCCGGCCUGAGAGGGUGACCGGCCACAUUGGGACUGAGAUACGGCCCAGACUCCUACGGGAGGCAGCAGUGGGGAAUAUUGCACAAUGGGCGGAAGCCUGAUGCAGCAACGCCGCGUGCGGGAUGACGGCCUUCGGGUUGUAAACCGCUUUCGCCUGUGACGAAGCGUGAGUGACGGUAAAGGGUAAAGAAGCACCGGCUAACUACGUGCCAGCCGCCGCCGUAAUAC